AUAUAGGCCGGGCAUGUUAUAUUAAGUGUGGCUGAAAUUGUUAAGACAGUCGCACACUUAUUUAUGCUGAGAUGCAUCAAAGAUGCCUAGAGAACCCUGCAUCACUUUCAACUUCCAUACGAGACUGGUACCAUCAUAAAAUAAAGCUUCCUUCCGGGAAAUCUUAUUGCAGUUACGAUUAUAAAUAAAUUGCAGAAGAUGUCUAUAGCUCAAUUCAUUCAAAUCUGUCUCUCUUCUAUAUUAUAAGCAAGAUUUAUUUAUCUACAUGCUUCUCAAGUGCCUUUCACUAUCAUAAUAACAUGUAUCCCUUAGCAUCUUAGCAAGAUCCUUGCUAUCAUUUCAAGGGUAAUGCU